GUUACUCCGAUGGCUUAGUGGUUUGAGCGUCCUCCUCGAAUUUGGGGAUCGCAGGUUCGAACCACUGCCGAGUCAUAAAACA